rnacentral:tRNA from 1 species
GGGAAGAUGGCUCAGUGGUAGAGCGCUUGCCUUGCAUGCAUGAAGCCCUGGGUUCGAUUCCUCAGCACCCCA